rnacentral:lncRNA from 1 species
AGCCAGCCUCGGGGCUGUCCCCAGCUCUGCCUGAUCAUCUCCGCCCGCCGCUCCCCCUCCCUCGGGGUCCUCACUCCGCGACCUCAGGGCACUCCAUCGCCUUGCCUUGCCAGGGUCUCCGGACGCGCUGCUCGCCCCCAUCUUUUCCCCUGUCGGGAUCCCUUUCUGUCCUCCGGACGGGCAGGUAUGUGGACGGGCCCCUCAGGACCCCGCGCCGAGGGACUCGAAGGACCCCACCCUGCUGGCCCCGCCCCGCCCGCCUGGUCCCUCCACGCGCGUGUCGCGCGGGGAUCCGCGGUCUCCGUGCGCGCCUGCGGCGUUGACCUUGCGGUUUUCGCCUUCUUGCUGCUGUGGUCCCUCCCCGCCCGGCGCCCAUCCCUUCCUCCCAUGUAGGACCACCAUGUUUGUUCCCUGCGGAGAAUCGGCUCCCGACCUCGCGGCUUACACCCUGCUGAUGGUUUUCGGCCUUCGGGGAAAACACCGGGAGGACGUGGCCGGAGGCGGCGGUCCGAGCAGAACCUUUGUUGGCGCUGUCACCGAAGGUAUCUAAGUCUGCAGUGUGUAGUCUUUGUUGACUAAAACGUAACGUGUUUGGAUAUGACAGUUACGUUGUGCGAGUCAUUCUCUUUACGUUUUAUCCCAGAAAAUCUUUUCUCAGCUAGAUUUGGAGUCAUUCUUAAGCUAGCAAGUCAUCGUCGUUAAUCAGAAAACUACAGAUAGGGUAGUAAAAGUAACCUUUCCUAGUAACCACACGGUUUUGUCGCUCUUAAAAUUGCGCGUAGGGGCGGGCCCCGUCUCCGAGUGAUUAAGUUCGCGCACUCCGCUUGGGCGGCCCAGGGUUUCGCUGGUUCGGAUUUUGGGCGCGAACAUGGCACCGCUCAUCAAGCCAUGCUGAGACGGUGUCCCACAUAGCGCAACCAGAAUAUACAACUAUGUACUGGGGGGCUUUGGGGAGAAGAAGAAGAAAAAAGUGAUUGGCAACAGAUGUUAGCUCGGGUGCCAAUCUUGGGGAAAAAAAUGCCCAUAUUCAUUCAUUGUGUCAAUAAACAUUCUGUUACGCGAAAAUGUUAGAAUAAG